rnacentral:rRNA from 1 species
AUUGAACGCUGGCGGCAUGCCUUACACAUGCAAGUCGAACGGCAGCAUGGGGGCAACCCUGGUGGCGAGUGGCGAACGGGUGAGUAAUACAUCGGAACGUGCCCCGUAGCGGGGGACAACCAGUCGAAAGACUGGCUAAUACCGCAUACGCUCCACGGAGGAAAGCAGGGGAUCGCAAGACCUUGCACUAUGGGAGCGGCCGAUGCCCGAUUAGCUAGUUGGGAGGUAAAGGCUCACCAAGGCAACGAUCGGUAGCUGGUCUGAGAGGACGACCAGCCACACUGGGACUGAGACACGGCCCAGACUCCUACGGGAGGCAGCAGUGGGGAAUUUUGGUACAAUGGGCGCAAGCCUGAUCCAGCCAUGCCGCGUGCGGGAAGAAGG